AGGUUGUAUGAGUGUGAGCAUUUUACAUAACACAAAUUGGAAUGAAAGUCGCAUUCAAAGUAAUGUCAGUAAAAGUGUAUAUUAACUUUACAUAAUUAAAUAAUUCAUAAUAUUGUAAAAUCAACUUUAUUACUUAUUUUUUUCUGUUUAAAAAUGGAUAUUAAAAUAUCUGCAUUGUCAUCGAGUACGUCUCGUAUUUUUACGACAACAGACCCGUUUCCGAUCUCCAUAGUAACGACAGCGCUGGAUUUCCCGAAAUGAGGAACAACGGAAAAUGGGACGUGCAAAGGGCAGCUUUGCCGCCCGCAAACGGAUUUUUAAGAUACAGAAACCAAUCAGAAGAAGAAGUUGAUGUAGUGUCUAUUCAAAAAUCGGCAGCAGAAUACGUCUACAAAUGAAGUUAAUAGGGAAGGAACUUUGCAGGCUUCAGGAUGUGCUGCAGAGGAGUUCUCAUGAUAAAGACAAAAUACCAGCAACGAGAGGUUUUUAUGGCUAGAGCGUAUGCUACACAUAUACUACAAAUUUCGGCCAUCAAUGGAGAAAACCACUUCAACCAGUACAUAUUUACAUGUACAUGUACAACCAAAGACUCCAAUUUGUCCAAAAGUAAGAGAAAUAACUGUAACUAGGACUGAGAGGAAGGAAAUGUACCACAAUGACAGAGGUGAAAGCAGUAAACAUAAGGACAGGUCCUACAAGCUUUUUGGAUUAUUUGUCUACCAAUGACAAUGUGGUGGUACUUGGUCAUAAUAUAAAAAAUUAAUAUGUUUCUGUACUUUUUCAAGUA